UCUUAACACAGACAAACCAAGAGAAAUUAGAACGAGUUAGAUCGUUGAUAGAUGAGAUAUAUAUACAUACAUAUAUAUGUGCAUAUAUAUCUUUAUAUAUCUAGGUACUUGAGAAAUUUAUAACGAGCAAAGGUCACAUCGUAUCUUUGCUAAACUAGGAAACGGAUUACUUUGAAUUCGCGAGUAAGAUUGUCAAGAUACGAGCUCAAGAAUUUUUUGCUCGUCCAUUCUGUGAAAUAUAAUAUUGAAACAGUUCGAUUUUCGUGUUUUGUGUUGUUAUUACUAAAAAUAAAGGAGAAAAGAAAA